AGCAGCCGCCGCGGUAAUACAGAGGGUGCGAGCGUUAAUCGGAUUUACUGGGCGUAAAGCGUGCGUAGGCGGCUUCUUAAGUCGGAUGUGAAAUCCCUGAGCUUAACUUAGGAAUUGCAUUCGAUACUGGGAAGCUAGAGUAUGGGAGAGGAUGGUAGAAUUCCAGGUGUAGCGGUGAAAUGCGUAGAGAUCUGGAGGAAUACCGAUGGCGAAGGCAGCCAUCUGGCCUAAUACUGACGCUGAGGUACGAAAGCAUGGGGAGCAAACAGGAUUAGAUACCCCUGUAGUUCCUGUCUCUUAUAC
rnacentral:rRNA from 1 species